rnacentral:rRNA from 1 species
UACGUAGGGGGCAAGCGUUGUCCGGAUUUAUUGGGCGUAAAGAGCGUUGUAGGCGGCCAGGUAGGUCUGCUGUGAAAACUCGAGGCUUAACCUCGAGCGUGUCGGCGGAAACCAUCUGGCUAGAGUCCGGAAGAGGAGAGUGGAAUUCCCGGUGUAGCGGUGAAUGCGCAGAUAUCGGGAAGAACACCCGUGGCGAAGGCGGCUCUCUGGGACGGUACU